rnacentral:SRP_RNA from 1 species
ACCGGGCUUGGUAACGCUUGCCUGUAACUCGUAACUCAAGUGAGGGUAUUAAAGAUUGUUGGACAGUGACUCAACCGAGUCAGAUUGGUCCCACUGUUGCAUAAUCUGGCUUGCCCGUUCCAAGUUGUGAGUUGGACCAUGUGGCUUGAGCGAAAGCUUGGGCCACAUGGUUCCUAAAGCAGGGGGCACUGCGUAAGGCUGGUUUCACAGAGCUGCGAAAACCCCUCGCUCAUGACAGUGGAAGCAUGUAAAUGAAGCCCAAAUGAUAAAGUGCCUUUCACAUAUUAUGCAUGUAUGAAGAAUA